rnacentral:tRNA from 1 species
GGUUGUGGCUCAGCGGUAGAGCGCUGGCCUUGCACAUGUGAGGUCCUGGGUUCAAUCCUCAGCACCA